AACGCACAUGGCACCCACUGGACCAUCCGGGGGGUAUACCUGUUUGAGAAUCGUAUCCGUCUUUUUCCAUGUCAUUAUGGAAAAGGUUUGAGGCUUUAAUCCCCUCUUUGGAGAUUAGCCUUGAAAAGCAGGAAGGCCCGGGUUCACCAGGUCUGAUGCUUUGCAGCAUCGUGUGGUAAGGCGCCUCCCUCUAAAGUUGGAGCCAACAGCACUUUGUUGUGCAUCUUAUGACCCAUGAUCCUCGUUCCCUUUACAAGCCGAGCUUAGGGGGCCCUCACGUCCCCUUCUCGCGGUGCGCCACUCGCGCGCACUCCCAUCUUGAUCUCAAAUCAGGCAGGACUACCCGCUGAACUUAA
rnacentral:misc_RNA from 1 species